ensembl:lincRNA Gm44226 predicted gene, 44226
CACAUUGAGUUGGGGGCUUACACCGUUAGCAUAACCCCCACAUUCCAUACCCUACCUUUCUCCUCUCAUUAGUCCCUCUAUUCCCUGGGACAAUUCUACUUCUCUUUCAUACCAUUCAUAUAUAUACAUGUGUGUGUAUAUAUAUAUAUACAUAUUUGUGUGUGUGUAUGUGUGUUUGUGUAUAUAUGAUUUUUAUUUACCUAUAUUGUUAGUGUACAGCCAAUUGUUAGUAGUACAGUGAUUCAGCUGGCCUGCUCUCAGGGACCUAGCAAAGGCUUAGUUAAUCACCUGCUCAUGCUGUCUUUUUUUCUAAUAUAUAUUUUUUGCAUCUUUGCCAAAAGUCUAAUGACUUUGCCUGUGUGGAUUAGUGUUGUGAAUAGCCCUGGGUCUAAUUACAUUUGAUUUUAAUUCUGUUCUCCUGUGAGGGGUUGUGAACAAGGAAUGAGUCAGCACUCAGGUGAUUUCCUGAAAACCUGCUUCCCACCUUAAUUUGUAAAAUAAAGGAGAGCUGUCAAUUGGGCAGAUAAAGGGAAGAUGGAGUGGAAGGUGAGGAGAGAGAAGAAGGAAAAAAAUGGAAGAGGGGGAGGACAUAGAAGAGGAGGAGGAGGAAGAAAAGCAGCACAAAAGCACAUGGCCUGGAGAAACCACAAGUUCUAAGGGGUCUCANNNNNNNNNGUUAGUGUCUGGGCUUCUAUUCUAUUUACCUGUGUUUCUUAUUUUGUUGUUGUUGAUGCUGUUACUAUGUCUCAAUAAUAUAAUUUCAAAUCAUGUUGAUGAUACCCCCAGCAUUGCUCUUUGGUCAAGAUUACUCUUUAGCUAUCUGGGAUCUCUUGUAUCCUCAAGGUAUUUGUGUGUGUGUGUGUGUGUGUGUGUGUGUGUGUGUGUGUGUAUGUGUGUGUGUGUGUGUGUAUUGGGGUGUGCACAUGUGAUUGCAGUGCCUGUGGAGGCCAGAAGGGAUCACCCACAGCUGGAAUUAUAGUUUGUUGUGGGUUCCCAGGUCUGGUUGCUGGGUUGCAAACUCCAGUUUUCUAGAAGAGCAGUAUAUGAUCCUAAUUCCUGCACCAGUUCUCCAACACAUCU